rnacentral:rRNA from 1 species
CGUAGUGACCUGCGGAGGAUCAUUGUCGAACCUGCCCAGCAGAGCGACCCGUGAACAUGUUCAACCUCGUGGGGGACGGGGCGUUGCUCGGUGCCUCGUGCGCCUGCUCGCCCCCCUCUCAGGCCGGGGAGCGCCCACUUGUGGGCUGUUUCCCCGGCCAAACAACGAACCCCGGCGCGUAAGCGUCAAGGAAUAUAAACUUAAUGUGUGUGCUCUCCCGCUGCCCGGUCAGCCGGGCGUUGGAGCUGUGCCAUGUCUUAACAAUAAACGACUCUCGGCAACGGAUAUCUCGGCUCUCGCAUCGAUGAAGAACGUAGCGAAAUGCGAUACUUGGUGUGAAUUGCAGAAUCCCGUGAACCAUCGAGUUUUUGAACGCAAGUUGCGCCCGAAGCCUCCGGCUGAGGGCACGUCUGCCUGGGCGUCACGCAUCGCGUCUCCCCCAAACCCACCUCGGUGGAGGGGAAGGAGGAUGGUUUCCCGCGACUCACCGGUCGCGGCUGGCCUAAAAUUGGAGCCCCCGGCAUCGGUAUGCCGCGGCGAUAGGUGGUGAACAAGGCCUCGGCCAAGCAAGCAACCCGUCGCGCGUGCCGUGCCAGCGUGGGCUCGGAGGACCCUUCGGCGUUGCCUAACGGCAACCAAACCGUUGCGACCCCAGGUCAGGCGGGGCUACCCGCUGA